rnacentral:rRNA from 1 species
CCUACGGGUGGCAGCAGUGAGGAAUAUUGGUCAAUGGCCGGAAGGCUGAACCAGCCAUGCCGCGUGAAGGUCAGUGCCCUAUGGGCGUUAAACUUCUUUUGUGCGGGAGCAAUAAUGGUCACGUGUGGCCAGACGAGAGUACCGUACGAAUACGCAUCGGCUAACUCCGUGCCAGCAGCCGCGGGAAUACGGGGGAUGCAAGCGUUAUCCGGAUUUAUUGGGUUUAAAGGGUGCGUAGGCUGUGAGGUAAGUCAGCGGUGAAAUGCCCCCGCUCAACGGGGUGAAGUGCCAUUGAUACUGCCUGGCUGGAAUGCGGAUGCCGUGGGAGGAAUGUGUGGUGUAGCGGUGAAAUGCAUAGAUAUCACACAGAACACCGAUUGCGAAGGCAUCUCACGAAUCCGCGAUUGACGCUGAUGCACGAAAGCGUGGGUAUCAAACAGGAUUAGAUACCCGAGUAGUC